rnacentral:rRNA from 1 species
GACAGAGGGGGCAAGCGUUGCUCGGAAUCACUGGGCGUAAUGGGCGCGUAGGCGGGAUGGCAAGUCAGUCGUGAAAUCUCUCGGCUCAACCGAGAAACGUCGGCUGAUACUGCCGUUCUUGAGGGAUGCAGAGGAGACUGGAAUUCCCGGUGUAGCGGUGAAAUGUGUAGAGAUCGGGAGGAACACCGGUGGCGAAGGCGGGUCUCUGGGCAGUAACUGACGCUGAGGAGCGAAAGCGUGGGGAGCGAACAGG